AUGCUCCUAAAGAGCUACUGAAAUAGACUCAAUGGCAGCUACGAUGCCCAACAGAAGCAGCGAUGCCUGGUGCACAUAGCAGGUUGCUAGCAGGAGUCAUCUGGGGUGAUUCACCUGUCUUGUUGGUGAGGAUAUGGACAUCAUCUGGGGACUCUCAGAAAUCCCUGAAGUGAUAUAGAGUCCCACAUGAGCUUGCCUGUGGUGUUUUACAAACCAAUAACGUAGUGUUCAUAAACCAAAGUCACUUGGAGGUUCAGAAUUGUAAAAUAUUCUCAAGAAGGUUUUCAGGCCGGCUUAUACCUGGAAAAACUUACAGAUCUACUUGAAGCCUCUCUAAGCUCCCGGACUAGUAAAUUUCCAAAAAAUCAGCUUUCAAGAUGAUUUUCCGUUGGGUCUGAUGAAGAUUCUACCCUUCACUAGACUCUACCCAGGCUCCUCUGAGCCCUCUUCUCAACUAGAUCUCAACUGUGGUCUAUAAAGGCUUAACACUAACAUAGUUUCCAACAGCUCAACCCCACAUCCCAAAGGUGUUCUUCACUAGCCUUAAAGUGCUGGCCUGAGAAAACUCAAGACUGCCAAAUGAAUCUGCGUUUUUUCCAGGCAUCACCUGAAGAUAAGGCCCCUGUCUCCUAGUCUCUGUGGGAAGGCGAGAACCUAGCUUGGAUAAGCGCCAGUCAAAAAACCCACAUGGUUUCCCAUGGACCAACUCCACUUUACCACUUUUGGGAAUUUUUCACUUUCCUAACUGAGCCCCUACUUUCCCCUCUCCCUAAUUCCUUCUUUUAUCCUUAAAAUGCCCAGUCACUUCUGUACAACUCGAAGUUGAAUUUUGUUCACACU
rnacentral:lncRNA from 1 species